UACGGAGAGUGCAAACGUUUGUUCGGAUUCACUGGGCGUAAAGGGCACGUAGGCGGCUCGGCAAAUCGGUCGUGGAAUCCAGACGCUUACCGUCUGAACGGCGGCCGAAAAUACCGGGCUCGAGGGCGUGAGGGGUCACUGGAACUCCUGGUGAAGCGGUGAAAUGCGUAGAUAUCAGGAGGAACGCCGGAGGCGAAAGCGAGUGACUGGCGCGUUCCUGACGCUGAGGUGCGAAAGCUAGGGGAGCAAACAGG
rnacentral:rRNA from 1 species